UUAGGUUAAGUUAUGAAGGGCGCACGGUGGAUGCCUUGGCACUAGGAGCCGAUGAAGGACGGUACUAACACCGAUAUGCUUCGGGGAGCUGUAAGUAAGCAUUGAUCCGAAGAUUUCCGAAUGGGGAAACCCACUGCUCGUAAUGGGGCAGUAUCCUUACCUGAAUACAUAGGGUAAGAGAAGGUAGACCCGGGGAACUGAAACAUCUUAGUACCCGGAGGAAGAGAAAGCAAACGCGAUUUCCUGAGUAGCGGCGAGCGAAACGGAAGAUAGCCCAAACCAAGAGGCUUGCCUCUUGGGGUUGUAGGACACUCUAUACGGAGUUACAAAAGAGCGAAGUAGACGAAGCGACCUGGAAAGGUCCGUCAGAGAAGGUAACAACCCUGUAGUCGAAACUUCGUUCUCUCUUGAGUGGAUCCUGAGUACGGCGGGACACGUGAAAUCCCGUCGGAAGCUGGGAGGACCAUCUCCCAAGGCUAAAUACUCCCUAGUGACCGAUAGUGAACCAGUACCGU
rnacentral:rRNA from 1 species